rnacentral:tRNA from 1 species
GGAUUUUGGCUCAGGGGUAGAGCACUCGCCUAGCACGCAUGAGACACUGGGUUCAAUCCUCAGCACCA